rnacentral:rRNA from 1 species
GCUUUGUGGUUCAACUGAUUUGAAGAGCUUGCUCAGAUAUGACGAUGGACAUUGCAAAGAGUGGCGAACGGGUGAGUAACACGUGGGAAACCUACCUCUUAGCAGGGGAUAACAUUUGGAAACAGAUGCUAAUACCGUAUAACAAUAGCAACCGCAUGGUUGCUACUUAAAAGAUGGUUCUGCUAUCACUAAGAGAUGGUCCCGCGGUGCAUUAGUUAGUUGGUGAGGUAAUGGCUCACCAAGACGAUGAUGCAUAGCCGAGUUGAGAGACUGAUCGGCCACAAUGGGACUGAGACACGGCCCAUACUCCUACGGGAGGCAGCAGUAGGGAAUCUUCCACAAUGGGCGAAAGCCUGAUGGAGCAACGCCGCGUGUGUGAUGAAGGGUUUCGGCUCGUAAAACA